UUCCUUCCUCCAUGCCUGAGGAGGACUGCCCCUGGCUUCAGUCACUUGCGCGCUGGCUCUCGUGGAGUUAGGACGAGCGGUCGGUCGAUCCGCCGUCCCCGCGUUGCUUCAGUUGAGCCUUGGCUGUCGUCGGGAUCGGACGUACCAUCGUCACAGGGAAAACGGAAAGUUUCAACGAUCUCUUCGUGGACACAAUGACGCCUCUACGUUUCGCUGUUGUCUUCGUCCUCCUCUUUGGUGUAUUUGUCGCUAGUGAAGCUGCACCUGAAGGACACGAGCUUGAACGUCGUGAUUAUGACUUCGGUGUCUGCGCUUGUGUUCAGGGUAAAACAUGCCCUAAUAACGCCCUUUGCACAAAGUACAGCGGGUGUAACACAUGCUUCCUUCUCGGUGGAUGAAAAACAUGGCUGACCGGCAACCCUUAACAACGAAACGAUCAACUGCACGUAUAUGAAAUAAGAGUCCCUGGCAUUCUCUUUCACCAACAUGAUCAUGGGUGGCGGGAACUUUUGGGGGCAAUAAAUUGUACUAAGCAGCA